GAUGGAAGAACGUAGCGAAAUGCGAUAAGUAAUGUGAAUUGCAGAAUUCAGUGAAUCAUCGAAUCUUUGAACGCACCUUGCACCCUUUGGACUGCUCCAAAGGGUAUGCUCGUUUGAGUGUCAUUGUACUCUCACACUCUCUGAUCCUUUGGAUUUGGGGAGCAGUGGACUUGGGUGCUUGCUGCUUCCUUGUGGCUCACCUGAAAUGCAUCAGUGCAUCUCUCGAUUGGACAUAGUACGGCGUGAUAAGUGUCUUCGCCGGCACCUCAUAUGAGGGUGGCCGAUCGGGAGCUCUGUGCUUUCAAACCGUCUUCGGACAACGCUGACAACUUGACCUCAAAUCGAGUAGGACUACCCGCUGAACUUAAGCAUAUCAAUAAGCGGAGGA
rnacentral:misc_RNA from 1 species